rnacentral:tRNA from 1 species
GGGGAUUUAGCUCAGUGGUAGAGCGCUUGCCAAGAAGUGCAAGGCCCUGGGUUCGAUCCCCAGCUCCG